CUGGCAUCCUGCGCUGGGUACUGGGUUCUGUGCUAUCAUACAGCAUCUCUCUCAGGUGUUCUUAUGCCCCACUUUUUAGGUGGAGAAGACACCGAAACCCCUGCCCAAUGGGAGAACUUAACUGUGUGCUGCCCACAAGAUGUGGACCCCAGACCAGAUGGAACCAGAAGGUUGGUGAUGCUGACCCCUGGUUACCUCAUAAUCAGAAGAAUGUCCAUGUGCUGAUCAUGGCUCCCGCAACCCUCUGCCCUGGCAUAGCCCUCUCCUACGUGAUCUCCAAGCAAAACACAGGGAGUGAAGAGUUGAGUCUUUUGGACAUAAGUCCACCUUCUUCCCAAGACUGCCAGUUUCCUCAAUAAAACCAUCUUUCCUGUUACCUAA